GGGCGCAUAUAGGUUGUAAUGAAACUGUAGUCUCAGUUGGAAGCCUAGACAUGAAAUGGGUCAGUGAGCAAGGCUCCAUUCCUAGUCUCCAGCCAUGCCUGUGGCAACCUGAGCCCGCUCUCAGCACAUUGGACCCAGGCAGAUGUAAAAAAUUCACAGAAGUAUGAUUUGGACUCAAGGGUUUGUAGAUUUCCUCCUUCAUUCUAAUUUCAGUGUCUAAAAUUCUUGCAUCCAUGAACGAGCUGGGCAUUUGAUGAGACAGGGCUGAAUACUGCAGUUUUCCUCCUAGAAAUCAUCUGGGGCAUUUUCUUUGAACUGAUGGGAACAAUAAGGCAUAACUGUUUGCACAAACUUGGGAUAAAUGAUUUUGGGAUAACGAUCUACCAGAAUGGGGAUAUUUCACCCUUGGUUCUGAGAUGCAAACCAAAGAAUAUCAUGACCAGCUUUCAGGCCUCCUGAAUACAUCUCUCACAUUGUCCUGUUCUCAUGCUGAGGAGCCUGAGAUCCCUGUGUGGGGAUUAGACAGUGGACUGUUAUG
rnacentral:lncRNA from 1 species